UACGUAGGGGGCAAGCGUUGUCCGGAUUUAUUGGGCGUAAAGAGCGUGUAGGCGGCCUGACAGGUCUGCUGUGAAAACUCGAGGCUCAACCUCGAGAUGUCGGCGGAAACCGUCUGGCUAGAGUCCGGAAGAGGAGAGUGGAAUUCCUGGUGUAGCGGUGAAAUGCGCAGAUAUCAGGAAGAACACCUAUGGCGAAGGCAGCUCUCUGGGCAUUACCUGACGCUGAGGAGCGAAAGUGUGGGGAGCGAACAGG
rnacentral:rRNA from 1 species